rnacentral:rRNA from 1 species
GCGUGGAGCCAACCUUGAAAUACCACCCUUUAAUGUUUGAUGUUCUAACGUGGACCCGUAAUCCGGGUUGCGGACAGUGUCUGGUGGGUAGUUUGACUGGGGCGGUCUCCUCCUAAAGAGUAACGGAGGAGCACGAAGGUUGGCUAAUCCUGGUCGGACAUCAGGAGGUUAGUGCAAUGGCAUAAGCCAGCUUGACUGCGAGCGUGACGGCGCGAGCAGGUGCGAAAGCAGGUCAUAGUGAUCCGGUGGUUCUGAAUGGAAGGGCCAUCGCUCAACGGAUAAAAGGUACUCCGGGGAUAACAGGCUGAUACCGCCCAAGAGUUCAUAUCGACGGCGGUGUUUGGCACCUCGAUGUCGGCUCAUCACAUCCUGGGGCUGAAGUAGGUCCCAAGGGUAUGGCUGUUCGCCAUUUAAAGUGGUACGCGAGCUGGGUUUAGAACGUCGUGAGACAGUUCGGUCCCUAUCUGCCGUGGGCGCUGGAGAACUGAGGGGGGCUGCUCCUAGUACGAGAGGACCGGAGUGGACGCAUCACUGGUGUUCGGGUUGUCAUGCCAAUGGCACUGCCCGGUAGCUAAAUGCGGAAGAGAUAAGUGCUGAAAGCAUCUAAGCACGAAACUUGCCCCGA